UACGGAGGGGGCUAGCGUUGUUCGGAAUUACUGGGCGUAAAGCGCGCGUAGGCGGACCUGCAAGUCGGGGGUGAAAGCCCGAGGCUCAACCUCGGAACUGCCUUCGAUACUGCGGGUCUCGAGUCCGGGAGAGGUGAGUGGAAUUCCUAGUGUAGAGGUGAAAUUCGUAGAUAUUAGGAAGAACACCAAGUGGCGAAGGCGGCU
rnacentral:rRNA from 1 species